UACAGAGGUCUCAAGCGUUGUUCGGAUUCAUUGGGCGUAAAGGGUGCGUAGGUGGCGCCGUAGGUCGGGUGUGAAAUUUCGGAGCUUAACUCCGAAACUGCAUUCGAUACUGCGGUGCUUGAGGACUGGAGAGGAGACUGGAAUUCAUGGUGUAGCAGUGAAAUGCGUAGAGAUCAUGAGGAAGACCAGUGGCGAAGGCGGGUCUCUGGACAGUUCCUGACACUGAGGCACGAAGGCCAGGGGAGCAAACAGG
rnacentral:rRNA from 1 species